UUACUUUUUAUACGACCGCAAAUUUUGAAAAAAAUUUCGUCGUAUAUUGCUAUCACGUUGGCGUCUGCGUCGUCGUCGUCGUCGUCGUCGUCGUCGUCGUCGUCGUCGUCCGGCGUCCGAAUACUUUUAGUUUUCGCACUCUAACUUUAGUAAAAGUGAAUGGAAAUCUAUGAAAUUUUAACACAAGGUUUAUGACCACAAAAGGAAGGUUGGUAUUGAUUUUGGGAGUUUUGGUCCCAACAUUUUAGGAAUUAGGGGCCAAAAAGGGCCCAAAUAAGCAUUUUCUUGGUUUUUCGCACUAUAACUUUAGUUUAAGUUAAUAGAAAUCUAUGAAAUUUUGACACAAGGUUUAUGACCACAAAAGAACGGUUGGGAUUGAUUUUGGGAGUUUUGGUCUCAACAGUGUAGGAAUUAGGGGCCAAAAAAGGGCCCAAAUAAGCAUUAUUCUUGGUUUUCGCACAAUAACAUUAGUUUAAGUAAAUAAAAAUCAAUGAAAUUUAAACACAAUGUUAAUGACUACAAAAGGAAGGUUGGUAUUGAUUUUGGGAGUUUAGGUCCCAACAGUUUAGGAAUUAGGGGCCAAAAAGGGACCUAAAUAAGCAUUUUUCUUGGUUUUCGCACCAUAACGUUAGUAUAAGUAAAUAGAAAUCUAUGAAAUUUAAACACAAGGUUUAUGACCAU
rnacentral:lncRNA from 1 species